GGUUGCUAAGCCUAAAAAGAAAUAUUAUUUAGAGAAGAGGUUUUCCUUCGAGGGCACCCCUCAAUCUCUAUGAUAAUUUCUUGUCUUCUCCAGGGCCAGGGGGGCCUUGCUUAUAUAGUCCUCCCCUUCUAUGCGUUUUUGGGUCGAUAGGCGAGGUGGUACUAUGUUUUCCUUGAUCCAAUAGGUCGGUGGAACAUACCGAGCGAAAGAGUACUGAUUUGGCUCCAACAGGGGGGCGGGCGCCCAGGCUACCAGGGCGGGCGCCCUGGGCCUGGCCCAGUUUCGCCUCCGCUUCGGUCUCGUGGCUUCUGGAGUCU
rnacentral:lncRNA from 1 species